AGCAGCCGCGGUAAUUCCAGCUCCAAUAGCGUAUACUAAAAUUGUUGCGGUUAAAAAGCUCGUAGUUGCAUUUGUGCGCCGCGCUGUCGGUGCACCGCAUCCGCGGUGAUACUGACACGUCUGCGGAGCAUAUCGUCGGUGAGCCGGCGGUAAUACGCCGGUUCAAUAUCAAAAUCCUAUCGCGGUGCUCUUCGGUGAGUGUCGAGGUGGGCCGACAAUUUUACUUUGAACAAAUUAGAGUGCUCAAAGCGGGCUCAAAAUGCUGCUUGAAUAUUUCGUGCAUGGAAUAAUAGAAUAUGAUCUCGGUUCUAUUUUGUUGGUUUUCAGAACUCCGAGGUAAUGAUUAAUAGGGAUAACUGGGGGCAUUCGUAUUGCGACGUUAGAGGUGAAAUUCUUGGAUCGUCGCAAGACGAACAUCAGCGAAAGCAUUUGCCAAAGGUGUUUUCAUCAAUCAAGAACGAAAGUUAGAGGUUCGAAGGCGAUUAGAUACCGCCCUAGUUCUAACCGUAAAUAUGUCAUCUAGCGAUCCGCCGACGUUACUACAAUGGCUCGGCGGGCAGCUUCCGGGAAACCAAAGAUUUUGGACUCCGGGGGGAGUAUGGUUGCAAAGCUGAAACUUAAAGGAAUUGAC
rnacentral:rRNA from 1 species